rnacentral:rRNA from 1 species
CCUACGGGAGGCAGCAGUGGGGAAUAUUGGGCAAUGGGCGGAAGCCUGACCCAGCAACGCCGCGUGAGGGAAGAAGGUUUUCGGAUUGUAAACCUCUGUUCUUGGGGAAGAGGAGGAGACGGUACCCAAGGAGGAAGCCCCGGCUAACUACGUGCCAGCAGCCGCGGUAAUACGUAGGGGGCGAGCGUUGUCCGGAAUGAUUGGGCGUAAAGGGCGCGCAGGCGGCCUGUCAAGUCAGUAGUGGAAGUCCAUUUUUCAAGGAUGGAAGUGCUAUAGAAACUGAUGGGCUUGAGUGCAGGAGAGGUUAUCGGAAUUCCCGGUGUAGCGGUGAAAUGCGUAGAGAUCGGGAGGAACACCAGUGGCGAAGGCGGGUAACUGGACUGCAACUGACGCUGAGGCGCGAAAGUGUGGGGAGCAAACAGGAUUAGAUACCCUGGUAGUCCACACUGUAAACGAUGAAUGCUAGGUGUAGGGGGUAUCGACCCCUUCUGUGCCGAAGUAAACACAAUAAGCAUUCCGCCUGGGGAGUACGGUCGCAAGAUUAAAACUCAAAGGAAUUGACGGGGGCCCGCACAAGCAGCGGAGCAUGUGGUUUAAUUCGAAGCAACGCGAAGAACCUUACCAGGUCUUGACAUCCAUCUAAAGCUGCGGAGACGCAGUGUGAGCAAGCUCGAGAUGAGACAGGUGGUGCAUGGUUGUCGUCAGCUCGUGUCGUGAGAUGUUGGGUUAAGUCCCGCAACGAGCGCAACCCUUGCCGGUAGUUACUAACGGGAAGAGCCGAGGACUUUACCGGGACCGCCGGGGACAACUCGGAGGAAGGUGGGGACGACGUCAAAUCAUCAUGCCCCUUAUGACCUGGGCUACACACGUGCUACA